rnacentral:rRNA from 1 species
CACCGCCCGUCAAACCAUGGGAGCUGAGGUUCUCUGAAGACUUACCAUGUGGGUUAAGGAGAAAAUCAGUGACUGGGGUUAAGUCGUAACAAGGCAUCCCUACGGGAACGUGGGGAUAGACUACCAUUCUA